AACGAACGCUGGCGGCAUACUUAACACAUGCAAGUCGAACGGAUGGCUUCGGCCAUCAGUGGCGCACGGGUGAGUAACACGUGGGAACCUGCCUCGUGGUUGGGAAUAACUCCGGGAAACUGGAGCUAAUACCCGAUGAGCCCUAUGGGGGAAAAUUUAUCGCCAUGAGAGGGGCCCGCGUCCGAUUAGGUAGUUGGUGAGGUAACGGCUCACCAAGCCGUCGAUCGGUAGCUGGUCUGAGAGGAUGAUCAGCCACACUGGGACUGAGACACGGCCCAGACUCCUACGGGAGGCAGCAGUGGGGAAUAUUGGACAAUGGGCGCAAGCCUGAUCCAGCAAUGCCGCGUGAGUGAUGAAGGCCUUCGGUUG
rnacentral:rRNA from 1 species